AGCUGGCUGACGAGUCCCAAAUAGGGCGAAAUGCGCAUUGUCUUGGU
rnacentral:hammerhead_ribozyme from 1 species